CCAAGGGGCUUCUUUCGAUCUCUGCUGCGGAAGAGAUGCUCAACAGAAAGUGAGAGUCAGGAGGGCUUUUUCUGGAGGAGGCGGCCACUUUGGCUUCGGGACAUGUACAGACCUCUCAAUGCCACACGCAAGAAGAACAUGGCACAGAAGCUGCAUGACAGGGAUUCUUCUGAUGAGGAUGAGAUUUUCAACAAGGAACUAGGAGCGAGAAGUGCAGACCUGGUAGAGAAGGGUCUGUUCACAGAUUCCACCGGUGAAGAGCUGGGUGACGAGAGCGACACUGUCCCCGAGAUCGUCAUUGAGUGAGCCCAUCCUGUCUCCGAUCGCCUACAAAGUUUAUUUUCUGAUAUUGGCUUCUCAGCAUUGCUUGUAAAAGACUUAUUUUUCUCAUAUUAAAAUGUAUAAAUUCCU